rnacentral:rRNA from 1 species
AACCGGAUUAGAUACCCUUGUAGUCCACGCCGUAAACGAUGAGUGCUAAGUGUUGGAGGGGUUUCCGCCCUUCAGUGCUGCAGCAAACGCAUUAAGCCUCCGCCUGGGGAGUACGACCGCAAGGUUGAAACUCAAAGGAAUUGACGGGGGCCCGCACAAGCGGUGGAGCAUGUGGUUUAAUUCGAAGCAACGCGAAGAACCUUACCAGGUCUUGACAUCCUUUGACCACUCUAGAGAUAGAGCUUCCCCUUCGGGGGCAAAGUGACAGGUGGUGCAUGGUUGUCGUCAGCUCGUGUCGUGAGAUGUUGGGUUAAGUCCCGCAACGAGCGCAACCCUUAUUGUUAGUUGCCAUCAUUUAGUUGGGCACUCUAGCGAGACUGCCGGUGACAAACCGGAGGAAGGUGGGGAUGACGUCAAAUCAUCAUGCCCCUUAUGACCUGGGCUACACACGUGCUACAAUGGGAAGUACAACGAGUUGCGAAGUCGCGAGGUUAAGCUAAUCUCUUAAAGCUUCUCUCAGUUCGGAUUGUAGGCUGCAACUCGCCUACAUGAAGCUUUU